AAAUUGAAGAGUUUGAUCAUGGCUCAGAUUGAACGCUGGCGGCAGGCCUAACACAUGCAAGUCGAGCGGAAACGAGUUAUCUGAACCUUCGGGGAACGAUAACGGCGUCGAGCGGCGGACGGGUGAGUAAUGCCUAGGAAAUUGCCCUGAUGUGGGGGAUAACCAUUGGAAACGAUGGCUAAUACCGCAUGAUGCCUACGGGCCAAAGAGGGGGACCUUCGGGCCUCUCGCGUCAGG
rnacentral:rRNA from 1 species